GGAGAGAUGCCCGAGUUUGGCCGAAGGGGCUCGCCUGCUAAGCGAGUAUCCCGCUAAUAACGGGAUCGAGGGUUCGAAUCCCUCUCUCUCCGCCA
rnacentral:tRNA from 1 species